UUUAUAUGACCUAGCCAUCUGCUGGGAGCACAAAUGUGUGUGACAACAGAAAUGUGAUAUCACACAGGAAACAUUCUAUUCUCCAUUAUCUUCGCUAAUAGUGCAACAUAACUCAAUGCAAAGAAGUAUCCUGACAUUCAGCCCUGCUCCUAAUUCUUCACACACUUCGGUCUUCGGGAGAUUUGACAGGACUAAAGGUGUAUUAAUCUGGGAUCGUGAGGUUGCAGAGAAGGAAGACAUGCUAAACUAGUUCAUAGGAAAUACGUAAGGAUGGACUUAGGAAGCAGCAAGUACCCCAAAUUUCUGUUACAGACAACCUGUUAAUGAACGUAAACCUCACAGUGUAAAAGCCGAAGUGUGGUUGAUGGACGCCAGGAGUCAGAAAGUGAUGAACUGGAGUUCAGCUGAUCUAGGCUGAGUCUGGCUAAAUGGCUUUGCUUCCCCCCUGGGCCAAUGAGUCAACCGAAACAGCUUUGCCCCACAUCUCUUAUCCUUCUCCAGAGACCAGCUGGCUCACCAGGUAACAGCAGAGAUACAAGACAGCAGACCCUACCAUACAAGCACUUUUCUAAUCCCUUACUGCAUCUUGUCUAAGAACAUCCCAUUAUCCAAAGGGUGUCACGUAGCUGAGCCCACAGUCAAAGGGUGAGUCGUGGAGCAGGGAGGGUCUGCAAAGCCACAUGGCAAUGGACAAAGAGGUAGGGAAGGAUGAAGGACUGAAACCAGUGGGCACAGAAAGGUGGGUGAUGGUAGAGGUGAACUAAAUCCUCUUAUAGAUAAACAAAAUUCUAUCAAAGAAGAAACCAAUAGAAAAUACUCUGUAGGACUGAUGGUGUCAUGGUACAAGAA